rnacentral:rRNA from 1 species
CGCGCAGGCGGCCAAGUCAGUCGAAUGUGAAAGCCCCCGGCUCAACUGGGGAAGGUCGUUCGAUACUGCCUGGCUCGAAGAUAGGAGAGGGAAGUGGAAUUUCAGGUGUAGUGGUGAAAUGCGUAGAUAUCUGAAGGAACACCAGUGGCGAAGGCGACUUUCUGGCCUAUUCUUGACGCUGAGGCGCGAAAGCUAGGGGAGCGAAC